GCCCCCGUAGCUCAGUAGGAUAGAGCGAAGCUUUCCUAAAGCUUAGGUCGGACGUUCGAUUCGUCUCGGGGGCA
rnacentral:tRNA from 1 species